rnacentral:rRNA from 1 species
UACAGAGGUCCCAAGCGUUGUUCGGAUUCAUUGGGCGUAAAGGGUGCGUAGGUGGCGUCGUAAGUCGGGUGUGAAAUCUCGGGGCUUAACUCCGAAACUGCAUUCGAUACUGCGGUGCUUGAGGACUGGAGAGGAGACUGGAAUUUACGGUGUAGCAGUGAAAUGCGUAGAGAUCGUAAGGAAGACCAGUGGCGAAGGCGGGUCUCUGGACAGUUACUGACGCUGAUGCACGAAGGCCAGGGGAGCAAACGGG